GUCAGAAGUGGGUGAGGGACAGGAGGGGACAAGCAGGAGUGGCAGCAGGAGUCUGCCUUCAGUGUUCCGACUGUCCAGUGCAACACCCUGCCACCCUGACCUUUACCUGACUGGGUACUUCCCGACAGAGCCCCGUACACAUUGCAUGGAGACCCUGCCGCCCCAGGCCACCCACCCUCCUGAGUUCCAUACUUUGAAGGCCCCGUGUACCUCCCACAUGCUGCUUCCUGCCUAGGUGACUCAUUCCCAGGUGCCCUUCCCCAUUCUGGCCCCUGUUCUGUAGAAUCAGGGUAGAUGGCACAUGUUGCUAAGAAAUACCUGGGGCUGGCCCACACCAGCUGCCCAGGAUCACUACAAACUGGUCUGGAGAAGCGGCUCCGGGGCAGAGAUGGACAGCGGAUGCCAGGCAGCCAGAGCAGGACAGAGCCGCACUGGGCCCCUUGACCUGGGGAGACCUCUAGGAGGCCUGUCUCUGCCCAGGAGUUGGGCUCUGCCCAUGGCUCCAAGGCCAUCCCUAUGCGACAGUAAAUGAACCUCAGGUUGCCUGGUUAUAGCAGCUAAAGUGAUAGAGUGACGUCACAAUGCUCGCUCCUGCUAAGAAUUUGAACCAGGCA
rnacentral:lncRNA from 1 species